rnacentral:rRNA from 1 species
AAGCAACCUGCCUUUAAGACGAGAAUAACAAUUGGAAACAGUUGCUAAGGCUGGAUAGGAAAUAAAAAGGCAUCUUUUUAUUUUUAAAAGACCUUUUUCGGAAGGUAUGCUUAAAGAGGGGCUUGCGUCACAUUAGUUAGUUGGUAGGGUAAAGGCCUACCAAGACGAUGAUGUGUAGCUGGACUGAGAGGUUGAACAGCCACAUUGGGACUGAGACACGGCCCAAACUCCUACGGGAGGCAGCAGUAGGGAAUUUUCGGCAAUGGAGGAAACUCUGACCGAGCAACGCCGCGUGAACGACGAAGUACUUCGGUAUGUAAAGUUCUUUUAUUGAAGAAGAAACAAUAGUGGAAAAACUAUCUUGACGUUAUUCAAUGAAUAAGCCCCGGCUAACUAUGUGCCAGCAGCCGCGGUAAUACAUAGGGGGCGAGCGUUAUCCGGAAUUAUUGGGCGUAAAGGGUGCUUAGGCGGUUUAAUAAGUCUCUAGUUUAAUUUCAACGCUUAACGUUGUCCUGCUAGAGAAACUGUUUAACUAGAGUGAGAUAGAGGUAAGCGGAAUUCCAUGUGUAGCGGUAAAAUGUGUAAAUAUAUGGAGGAACACCAGAGGCGUAGGCGGCUUACUGGGUCUUUACUGACGCUGAUGCACGAAAGCGUGGGGAGCAAACAGGAUUAGAUACCCUGGUAGUCCACGCCGUAAACUAUGAGUACUAAGUGUCGGGGUUAAACUCGGUACUGAAGUUAACACAUUAAGUACUCCGCCUGAGUAGUACGUACGCAAGUAUGAAACUUAAAGGAAUUGACGGGAUCCCGCACAAGCGGUGGAUCAUGUUGUUUAAUUCGAAGAUACACGAAAAACCUUACCAGGUCUUGACAUACUCUGCAAAGCUAUAGAAAUAUAGUGGAGGUUAUCAGGGAUACAGGUGGUGCAUGGUUGUCGUCAGCUCGUGUCGUGAGAUGUUAGGUUAAGUUCUAAAACGAGCGCAACCCCUGUCGUUAAUUGCCAGCACGUUAUGGUGGGGACUUUAGCGAGACUGCCAAUGAAAAAUUGGAGGAAGGUGGGGAUUACGUCAAAUCAUCAUGCCCCUUAUGAUCUGGGCUACAAACGUGAUACAAUGGCUAUUACAAAGAGUAGCUGAAACGCGAGUUUUCGGCAAAUCUCAAAAAAAUAGUCUCAGUUCGGAUUGAAGUCUGCAACUCGACUUCAUGAAGUUGGAAUCGCUAGUAAUCGCGAAUCAGCAUGUCGCGGUGAAUACGUUCUCGGGGUUUGUACACACCGCCC